rnacentral:rRNA from 1 species
GAUGAACGCUGGCGGCGUGCCUAAUACAUGCCAGUCGAGCGAACAGACGAGGAGCUUGCUCCUCUGACGUUAGCGGCGGACGGGUGAGUAACACGUGGAUAACCUACCUAUAAGACUGGGAUAACUUCGGGAAACCGGAGCUAAUACCGGAUAAUAUAUUGAACCGCAUGGUUCAAUAGUGAAAGACGGUUUUGCUUUCACUUAUAGAUGGAUCCGCGCCGCAUUAGCUAGUUGGUAAGGUAACGGCUUACCAAGGCGACGAUGCGUAGCCGACCUGGAAGGGUGAUCGGCCACACUGGAACUGGGACACGGUCCAGACUCCUACGGGAGGCAGCAGUAGGGAAUCUUCCGCAAUGGGCGAAAGCCUGACGGAGCAACGCCGCGUGAGUGAUGAAGGUCUUCGGAUCGUAAAACUCUGUUAUUAGGGAAGAACAAAUGUGUAAGUAACUAUGCACGUCUUGACGGUACCUAAUCAGAAAGCCACGGCUAACUACGUG